GAUGAAGAACGUAGUGAAAUGCGAUACUUGGUGUGAAUUGCAGAAUCCCGUGAACCAUCGAGUCUUUGAACGCAAGUUGCGCCCGAAGCCAUCAGGUUGAGGGCACGUCUGCCUGGGCGUCACAUAUCGUUGCUCGAUGCCUAUCGCAUUGCGAUAGGACUUAGGGCGAAUGAUGGCUUCCCGUGAGCGUUGUUGCCUCGCGGUUGGUUGAAAAUCGAGUCCUUGGUAGGGUGUGCCAUGAUAGAUGGUGGUCGAGUUGGCACGAGACCGAUCAUGUGCAUGCUCCCCAAAAUAUGGCCUCUGUGACCCACACGCGUCUUUUGACGCUCAUGACGAGACCUCAGGUCAGGCGGGGCUACCCGCUGAAUUUAAGCAUAUCAAUAAGCGGAGGA
rnacentral:misc_RNA from 1 species